rnacentral:rRNA from 1 species
CACGUAGUUAGCCGGCGCUUUUUCUGCAGGUACCGUCACUUUCGCUUCUUCCCUGCUAAAAGAGGUUUACAACCCGAAGGCCGUCAUCCCUCACGCGGCGUUGCUGCAUCAGGCUUCCGCCCAUUGUGCAAUAUUCCCCACUGCUGCCUCCCGUAGGAGUCUGGGCCGUGUCUCGGUCCCAGUGUGGCCGGUCACCCUCUCAGGCCGGCUACCCGUCGACGCCUUGGUGAGCCAUUACCUCACCAACAAGCUGAUAGGCCGUGAGCCCAUCCCAGACCAAAAAAUCUUUCCAGAAACUCACCAUGCGGUGGAAUCUCGUAUCCGGUAUUAGACGCCGUUUCCAGCGCUUAUCCCAGAGUCCGGGGCAGGUUGCUCACGUGUUACUCACCCGUUCGCCACUGGUCCACAGAGCAAGCUCUGCUUCACCGUUCGACUUGCAUGUGUUAAGCACGCCGCCAGCGUUCAUCCUGAGCCAGGAUCAAACUC